rnacentral:rRNA from 1 species
GACGAACGCCGGCGGCGUGCCUAAUACAUGCAAGCAGAACGCAGUUGCGAACGGGUGAGUAACGCGUAGGUAACUGCCUCCUAGCGGGGGAUAACUAUUGGAAACGAUAGCUAAUACCGCAUACUGUGAGAUGGACCUGCGUUGUAUUCGCUAGUCGGUGAGGUAAAGGCUCACCAAGGCGACGAUACAUAGCCGACCUGAGAGGGGUAUCGGCCAAAGGGGGACUAGGACAGUGCCCGGACUCCUACGGGAGGCAGCAGUAGGGAGUCGACGGCAAAGGACGGAAGUCUGACCGAGCAACGCCGCGUUAGUGAAGAAGGUUUUCGGAUCGGAAGGCUCUGUUGUUAGAGAAGCGGUAAGUAACCAGAAAGGGGCGGCUAGCUACGUGCCAGCAGCCGCGGUAAUUC